rnacentral:rRNA from 1 species
UGGGGAAUAUUGCACAAUGGGGGAAACCCUGAUGCAGCGACGCCGCGUGAACGAAGAAGGUAUUCGUAUCGUAAAGUUCUGUCCUAUGGGAAGAUAAUGACAGUACUAUAGAAGAAAGCUCCGGCUAAAUACGUGCCAGCAGCCGCGGUAAUACGUAUGGAGCGAGCGUUGUCCGGAGUUAUUGGGCGUAAAGGGUACGCAGGCGGUUUAAUAAGUCGAAUGUUGAAGAUCGGGGCUCAACCCCGCAAAGCAUUGGAAACUGAUAAACUUGAGUAGUGGAGAGGAAAGUGGAAUUCCUAGUGUAGUGGUGAAAUACGUAGAUAUUAGGAGGAAUACCAGUAGCGAAGGCGACUUUCUGGACACAAACUGACGCUGAGGUACGAAAGCGUGGGGAGCAAACAGG